GUUGUGGAUGAACGGACGAAGCUUCUAGUUCAGGCAGCAUCACUGAUAGCUGUGAUUCAGGCCUGGAUCAUGUUGGUCCAUAAGAGAGUUGUUCGGGGAGAGAAACCUCUCAUCAGGAAUGGUCCGAUGUUAAUCCGGGAUCAGGAGAGGAUAGCAAAUCUGAACUACAUCUACAACUGCAACGACACAGAGGCUCUGUGGAUGCUUCGAAUGAGAAGAGAAGCUUUCGCUAGGCUUGUGCAGGCGUUCAGAGCAGGGGGGCUGCUAGAAGAUAGCAUCCACACCACUGUGGAAGAGCAAGUGGCCAUGUUCCUCCAUGUUGGUUAUAACCAGAGGUUCAGGGUUGUAUACAACACCUUCAGGAGAUCAAUGGAGACCAUCUCUAGGUACUUGAAGCAAGUGAUGUAUGUUGUUGGGGAGCUCAGAGGAGAGAUGAUCAGGUCACCAACCGACCGAAUUUCUACCAAGAUUCGCCCUAGCCCAAGAUGGUAUCCAUACUUCAAGGUGAGCACUGACAGUAUGUAG
rnacentral:rRNA from 1 species